GGGGCACCUGCAAACAGCACACAGUGGGCAAGGGCUGUACAGAGCCAGACAGGCACCCAGCCUGUCUCCCGGUGCUCCAACAGGAGGGGCUGGGCGACAAAACCAAACCUGGCCAGGGUGUCUGGAAGCCCUGCACGCACCAAGGCCCACGGCUCAGACUGGGCCUGCCGGAUCCAAUGACGUUCUCCUCUGGGUCACCCACACCCUCCCGAAUUCUAAAUUCAGGGGCAGGAGAGGGCAUAUGGGGUGAUGCCAGAAAGAUUCCUGGAGCAGAUUUAGGAGACCCAGGUUUCUGCUUCCAACCCAGAACCAUUAGAUGGAUGACCGAUCAAUUCACAUAGCUCUCCGCUGCCUCAGUUUCCCCAUCUGUAAGGGCCUUUUGGAAUGUAAGGCUUGAAGGGAUGUGUCCUGGGAGGCAGUGGGUGUGAUAACGGUGGAGUGGGCCCAUGAUAGGAGGAGGUUGGUUUUGGGGGUGCUGGUAGGCCCCCCAACAUCUCUCCUGGAUGUGAUGACAAUGUCCUUCCUACCUCCUGCCUGAAAUCCUCCAACCCCAGCUGCAUUUGCUAUGAGGCAAGGAGAGAGGGGGCCGGGACAGCAGGAGGUCCUGGGCCUCUGCUGCAAGAGGAGGAAGACCUGGGCUCCCCCACCGGCUCCCGGGCGUGGCAGGCGCAUCAGAGUCGCAGCCAGCCAUGCUCUGAGGCACGGGCCCCAGGAGCCAGAGCAGCAAGGGUUUGCUUCAGUAACAGGAGGAGUGAGCCAGCUCUGUCUACCAAGGGUCCCGAGCCCCUACUGUCUGGGGGUGCCCUGUAGCGCAAGCCAGUGCGUAUCCCUGGUGGUCUUACUGCCCCAAAGGCCAUGACCCUGUGUGCUGUCACUCACAUGCCUGCCCCCCAUCCCAUGUGGAGGCCUGCAUGCCCACAGCCAGGCACGUAGUCGGUGCAUGUGGGACAAGGGAACCAGACCAUGCGCGGUGGGCGACUGGCUGGCUGAGCGAGUAGAGGGUGGCCCCUGUGGAUGCCUGCUGGGAAAGGAGCCGAGAGUCCAGCACCGGACUGAAGGUCCUCUGGGCCCAGCAGAGCUGGUAGGACAGUCAGGAGGCCAGGGCCUCACGAAUAAAGCUUGGCAGCCCACUGCCUGCCCCACGUGCAGUCCCAACCCGGGACCUUGGAGGGCCUGCCUUCCGUCCUUCCUUCCUUCCUUCCUUCCUUCCUUCCUUCCUUCCUUCCUUCGUUCCUUCCUUCCUUCCACCCUCCCUCCAUCCCUCCCUCCCUUUUCUCCCUCCCUCCCUAACGUGCGUCCUGCCUAUAGCACAGAACUAAGGCAGCUGAGGGAUUGGGGUUGGGGAGCAUAACCCCAAGGCAGUGUGAAGGGUGAGGUGGGGCUUCAAGACCCCAAGUUCUCAUUCUGCAUAGGACGGCACUCAGGGCUGAGAGACGGAGCUGUCAUCGCCUCCCGGACCAGAAGCUUCCGGCAUCCAGCCGUGGCCUGGCCUGGGGGAAAAGGGGACCAGGCUGCACAUCCUCCCGCUGUGGACCCCUCCUCACCCAUGCCCACGGGGUGCUGCUCAGCUCUUCCUCAGAGGGCCCCCUUCCCGCCCCCAGCCUGGGACACUUCAGGCCUCAGGUUAGAACAGUCUGUCCUCCACAUGGUCGUCUCCUGUCCCCAUGCCACUGCUGGCCCUGACAGCUCUCUUCCUGCUUUUGUUUCCCGGGGAAGCAGGUUCAGGUGAGGGGUACACAGGGAGGGGCUGGGGGCAGGGGCAGGGCAGAGCCGGGCCGCUCCGGGGUAAGCUUCCUCCUGCAGCCCUGCGGGCUUUGUGCCAAUGGAGCCCAGGAGCCUCUCUGCUGAACAAGAGGCGGGAAUAGAAAGUGCCCGGAAAGAGAGAGUGAAGUGUGGCGAGCCUGCACCAGCCAGGAAGGCAAACCUGCCUGGACGGCGGCACAGGCAGCCUCUCUGGGCCCAGCUGACCUCCCCGAGGCCAGGCUAAGCCAGGCCCUGGUUAAAGGAGGCCUUGUCCAUGCCUGGCCGGCGGGGCAGGGAGGAGGGAUUUUAGGAAAAGUUUGGGAUGGCUGUGUUCCUUCUCAGGGAGGGAGGGAACAGAGUGGUCUCAGAGGUGGCUUUUGUGUUCAGGCUGGGAUGUCCUACAUAAGUGACAGAGACCUUGGAAAGCUAAACCUCAACCAUUGCGGGCGCCCUGAAAAAGCCCUCCAGCCCAAGGAGGACCUCAGACGUGUCACAAAACCCAAGCCAAGCCACCUUUUUUCUCUGGUCUCUAGGCCCCUCUUCCCUCCACCUCCCCUCCCCUCCCGCCUUGGGCCCAGAGCGCCCCCUCUCUGCGGGUUGUCCCCAGCCCCACCCUUGCCACAGCCUCUGUCCCGGAAAGGUGCAGCCUGGCUGGCAGGUGACCCUGCAUCUGGCUGGGCCAGUCGUCUUCUUGCCUCAACGCCCUCCAGAGCAGUGGCUCUCACAGCCAGCCCCGAAGAGCCACCCUCAGCUCUCAUUCAAAUGCACAUUCCCAGGGUGGGUGCUCAGAGAUUCUGAUUUCCUCAGGCCCAGGAAUCUGCAUUUACCUCAAGAAUUCCAGAGGUUCUCACGUACACGGCAUCCUGAGAAACAUCGGAUGGUGCAGGUGGCCCUCUACAGCCCAGCUGCCGUCCUCCCCCCACCUCUCCUCCCCCCAGCCCACCGAAGUUGAAUCCCAAGGAUCACCUUUUAGGAAGUGCUUCUGAAAAGGCAGCACAGCCAGGGGACACACCUGAAGCCAGCUGAGGACAACCUCAGCUCUUGUUGCCAGGACAACCUCAGUUCCUGCAGCCAGGACAACCUCAGCUCCACCUGGGCUCCCUCAUCCUUCUUGUGUCAGCGAGAGCCAGGAGCUCACACCGAGCCCUCCAUCAACUGUACCCCAAAUCAUGGCAACUAGAGGGAAGGCCUGGGAUGGUUUUUAGGAGGUGGGAGUUUGCACUCUGUGGUUCACAAACUAAAAUGCUCCUGCCCACCAGUCUCCCCGAGGGCCAGGACAGGCUUUCAGCUCCCACGUCCACCAAGCACAUGGGUCACCACUAGGAGACAAGCUCUACGGCCUGUGGGCUGGGCUCAGACCCCAGCGCUGGCCCUGGGGGUCUUUGGACAUGUCCCUUACCUGGCUUCAGUUUGUUCUCCUACUGAGUGAGGGUAUCAAUAGCAUCUUAGGCAGGACGUUAUGAGAUGAAAUAAAACAGCAGAGCACCUGG